ACUCACCCUGUCAGCGCUGGUUCGAGACGUAACGUGUGUUCAUCCUAAUCUCUUUCCAGCAUUCACAUUGAGGUGGCAGCACAUAAAUGAUUGUUUUGGUAAAAUCAUGCCAGUCCACAGGUGAAUAUUCCAGAUUGUUGAUCAACUUUCCUUGUACGAAGCUUUGAUCGUUUCUCCUGUCUGAGACGUUCCAGCGGGAGUUUUUCCAUCGAGCGCUCCUCAGAGGGAUCGUAUCAGCGCUCGGCGUGUUAUGAGAGCGACUCAGAAACACUCUAAACCUUCCAAAAACAACAGUCAUCAAACAGUGUUUUUGUUUCAGAGACAAAGACGUUAUUGUGAGUCGUAAAGAAAAAGGAAGAACAAAAUGUGCUGCUGUAAAGGGUCUCGCUUCUCUUCUCCAGUAGAAACAUCUGGAUUAAAUAAACUGUUUAAUUAGCGCAGAGCUACAGGAACCAACAGAGACAUAAACAAAAUCAUUAUUACUGAUGGAAAAGACAAUAA